UAUAUAUCCACAGCUGACGCAACUCCGUACCGACGCCUUACUACUACUAAAUUUUUAACCAUUUUUCUUUAUUUUUUUU